rnacentral:lncRNA from 1 species
CUGGAAUUAGAUAAUGGUGAUAGUUGCACAACCUUAUAAAUAUGCUGGAAAACAUUGUACACUUUAAGAGGGUGAAUGUUGUGGUAUGUGAAUUCCAUCUCAAUUAAAAAAGCAGUUUAGGACCUGCUACAGAGGGCCCUAUAUGCUAUGCUGAGGGCACUUAAUGCUGGAGACACCAAGCGGUCACCAAGUGCUUUUAAUACGCCAGUAAUAAUGAAAAAAUAAUACAAAAUAAUUAAAAUAAAAAAUAAUAAUAGCAGUAAUAAGAACAGUAAUGAAAGUGAGAACAAUAGCUCCCUUAGACAGCACUUAAUGUGCAUUACCUGCACCAUCUGCCCUGAGCACCUGUUUAAACACAUGACCACCUGACAGUCUCGUCUGCAUUGUUGUUGAUAGUCCCUAGGACUUGUUAUUUUGUUUAUUGUUUGUCUUCCCCAUGACUAAAAUGUAAGUUCCAUAAGAGCACGGGAUUUUUUUUUUUUUUGAGGAGGAUUAGCCCUGAGCUAACUGCUGCCAAUCCUCCUCUUUUUGCUGAGGAAGACUGGCCCUGAGCUCACAUCUGUGCCCAUCUUCCUCUACUUUAUAUGUGGGACACCUGCCACAGCAUGGCUUGCCAAGCGGUGCCAUGUCUGCACUCGGAAUCUGAACCCCUGGCCGCCGAAGCGGAACAUGUGAACUUAACUGCUGCACCACUGGGCCGGCCCCAAGAACAGGGGAUUUUGUGUAUUCUAUUCACUACUUUAUCUCAAGUGUCCAGAACAGUGCCGGGCCUAUAAUGGGUGCUAAAUAAAUACCUAACAAGUGAAUGCUGUUGAUUAAGAGAACCUGAGAUCACAUAGAACAAGCAACUUAUUUUACAGCUGAGGAAAGGGAGGUGAGUGACAUGUUCAUUCCAUAGCAAGUCAGUGGGUGGAGCUGGGCUGAACUGGACAGGUGUCCUGGAGACUCCUGGUGCCUGCCCUGGAGGCCCUUUUGAAGGAAGUAGCCGUAGGCUGUUUGUUCCAUGAACUCAUCAUGCUUUGCAUUGUGUGUGAUGGUUGUGUUUUCCCAUCUAGCAUCCACUCCCCCCAUUCUCUGAGAGUAGUAUUUUGAUUUUCCAUGGAGGAAUAACUCAUCGUCCUCUUGGUUGACGCAGUUUCCGUGGAACUGGCUCGAUGGAGGUGGACACAUGGCUCAGGUCUGACCAAUCAGAGCAUUGCUUUCUCUUGGUCACAGUUGGGUCCAGAGAGAAGGUACAUGACUCAAGCAAAGCCAAUGAAACUCCCUUCUGGGAUUUUGCUGAAAGUAUUAAGGAGAAAUUCUCAGCAGGGUUUCUAAGCUGGUGGAAUGCAGGCUUGGAACUGCCGAUGGCCAUCUUUGCCACUACUUGGGAAGAGCCAGCCUGAGAAUGAAGACAAGACAGAGAGAAGCAGAGCCUAGAGAUGAAAAUUUGGAGAGCCAUGAGGACUGACAUCUGGGGGCUGAAAUAACACUUGGAGAUCAGGUUUCCAGUGUGAUCAGGGCUCCAGGCUUAAAGAUUGUUCUGAUCUUCAUUCGUGGUCAUGAGCAGGACCCGGGGAGGGGCUGAUCUCUUGACUGCAGUUGGCUUGUCACACGCUGGUCAUAGAAAGAGGAUGGAUGAUUUGGCUGAGUGGAGAAACUCCUGUGUCUUGCAGAAGGAGAUGCGAUGAGGAGCAAGGAAGUCGCAGUGGCUGAACCCCAGAGAGGCUCAGGGAUUGAAGGUCAGGCCCCUGGGGUGAGAGGAGGGACCGAAGACAGAUCGUUAAUUGUACAUAUCUACUAGGCACGUUACUGCCAGAUUUCCCUCCUGUGACCCCUUGCCCCGAUCCCUGCAGAAGAUUAAGUGUUUCUUCUUUGGAGAACUUGAAACAGAGCAGCUCUAGCUUGAGAGACAGCAGUCAGAGAAAAAUGUGGAGCUGAGGCAGCAUGCUAAACACAGAUUAAAUGCACGUGUGCAGCUAAAAAAAGAAACUUAACCUGUUUUUUAAUAAUCAUGUGCUUAGUGAUAGUAUUGAU